rnacentral:rRNA from 1 species
ACUCCUACGGGAGGCAGCAGUGGGGAAUAUUGCACAAUGGGCGCAAGCCUGAUGCAGCCAUGCCGCGUGUAUGAAGAAGGCCUUCGGGUUGUAAAGUACUUUCAGCAGUGAGGAAGGUGGAUGCGUUAAUAGCGUAUUCAUUUGACGUUAGCUGCAGAAGAAGCACCGGCUAACUCCGUGCCAGCAGCCGCGGUAAUACGGAGGGUGCGAGCGUUAAUCGGAAUUACUGGGCGUAAAGCGCAUGCAGGCGGCCUGUUAAGUCAGAUGUGAAAGCCCGGGGCUUAACCUCGGAAUUGCAUUUGAAACUGGUAGGCUAGAGUUUUGUAGAGGGGGGUAGAAUUUCAGGUGUAGCGGUGAAAUGCGUAGAGAUCUGAAGGAAUACCGGUGGCGAAGGCGGCCCCCUGGACAGAUACUGACACUCAGAUGCGAAAGCGUGGGGAGCAAACAGGAUUAGAUACCCUGGUAGGAUAGCG